rnacentral:rRNA from 1 species
GAUAAACGCUGGCGGCGUGCCUUAUGCAUGCAAGUCGUACGAGGCUAGGACUUCGGUCCGAAACCUAGUGGCGGACGGGUGAGUAACACGUACGUGACCUGCCCAUGAAGUGGGGGAUAACCAGCCGAAAGGUUGGCUAAUACCGCAUGUGGUCACCCCUUGGAAGGGGAUGACGAAAGCCGAAAGGCGCUUCUGGAGGGGCGUGCGGCCGAUUAGCUAGUUGGUGUGGUAACGGCGCACCAAGGCUGUGAUCGGUAGCUGGUCUGAGAGGAUGGUCAGCCACACUGGGACUGAGACACGGCCCAGACUCCUACGGGAGGCAG